rnacentral:rRNA from 1 species
AUUGAACGCUGGCGGCAGGCCUAACACAUGCAAGUCGAGCGGAUGAAGGGAGCUUGCUCCUGGAUUCAGCGGCGGACGGGUGAGUAAUGCCUAGGAAUCUGCCUGGUAGUGGGGGAUAACGUCCGGAAACGGGCGCUAAUACCGCAUACGUCCUGAGGGAGAAAGUGGGGGAUCUUCGGACCUCACGCUAUCAGAUGAGCCUAGGUCGGAUUAGCUAGUUGGUGGGGUAAGGGCCUACCAAGGCGACGAUCCGUAACUGGUCUGAGAGGAUGAUCAGUCACACUGGAACUGAGACACGGUCCAGACUCCUACGGGAGGCAGCAGUGGGGAAUAUUGGACAAUGGGCGAAAGCCUGAUCCAGCCAUGCCGCGUGUGUGAAGAAGGUCUUCGGAUUGUAAAGCACUUUAAGUUGGGAGGAAGGGCAGUAAGUUAAUACCUUGCUGUUCUGACGUUACCAACAGAAUAAGCACCGGCUAACUUCGUG